UACUGUCGAAAGCAUUAGAAACUGAAGCAAGGCUAAUGUACAUUGAAAAUGUAGGCUAUACGCAUUGAAUUAUCUGCGUGCACAAAGUUAUGCGUGCAUUAGCUUUAUGGAUCAAGAGUUAGAUAUCGGCGCGUGAAGGCACAGUAAAUUUCCAUCAGCAGAAACCUGCACUGUCCGUGAAAUUCAGUGAUGACAUCACAAGUCCAUAAAACGCAUGCAGGAGGCCAUGGGGUAUGGAUCUGAUUUCGAGCGGAACAUAGAUGGUGCCGGAGCCGCUGAUUUGUGUGCCCUUGGCGGUGUGGUCAUGUGCUUCUCAUAAGGUCCCUUCCAACAGGCGUGGGGAGACAAAAGACUGAGUCAGCCAUCCCCAGAGGGCCUAGUGGGCGUUAUCUUCUCAGGCUUUGAGAGCAGCCUCUACAGCGACAGGGAAACAGGGCCAGCCCCCAGGGUUCACCCACAUGGAGGGAAGGCAUACUGUAUGGUGGAGGAAACAGCUCGGAAGAAAGGGGAGUCAGAAGACUGCUGUUCUAUGGCAAUAAAUCAAAAAAGGCCCUCCAACCACUCAAUGGCAUUUUUACAACAUUUUUACAGUAUGCUGCUCCUGCUUGUCUGGAUUACCCGCUCCUAAUGGCAUAACUACAUUAAUCACUGAGAUAUUGAGGACUGUCAUGAGUCACCCCCCAAUUAGGAACAUAAGGAUUUCCAAACAUCAUCCAUGAUGUUGAACCUUCAGUUGAGUAUUGAACCUUGUGUGACCCAUUUUUACUCCAUGGGUACUGAUUAUUUUUAUGUCCUGUGUCAAGUAAAGAUAUACAUAAAAACAAAUCCUGCUUAUUGGCUUUUUAAUUUUGCCUUACUGAAAAUCUUCCAUUACAGUAGCCUCCAAAUAGUGUCCAUCAUACAAUUAGUCAUUUAAAGCAGCAGAGGCUUUUGACUUUGUUUCCUGCAAUAGGAUGCAGAAAUGUGAGACUCAUCACCCGGUAGCCAGCAA